UUUUUUUUUUUUUUUUCCUUUCUAGAGUCUGAAAAUAGAUAUAAUGUUGGGGAUGGUCAAACAAGGCUGCCGGCUCCCAAGGGGCUAGAGUCCACUCCUGAUAAUAGAAGGCGGGUGAACACUGACACUUCACUGAGGAUAAUGGAGACAGCAAAGGCUUAGUGGGAAAGGGCCAGUUGUCACCUAAGUGACAGGCAACAGCUGAGCUCACACAUCUGGAGCCGGACUACGGCAAACAUUAGCAACCCUCACCCGUCUACACCUUGGGCCUGUCUGAAAAGACAGAUGGAAGUUCCCUCUACUCCAAAAGUACAUUAAAAAAAUGUCUGAUGGUGAACUACGUCAAUUAUAUAACAUCAACUGCAGGCACAGCCUUCCGAAGUACUGAUUUUAAAACGAGGCAGUAGACAACACUGUAUGCAUGAACAAGAUACAAUUUCAUUGAUUUGCCAUUCAUAAAAUUUAUCCUAAAAGACACAUAUACAUGCAUCCAUUUUAUAGCACAAAAGCAUGUGAACUCUGCAGGAGAGGCAGAUUUUUACACGUUUUUUGUUGGUGGUGGUGGUGGGUUUUUUUUUUUUUUCUUUAGGCUGGUUCCCGUGGUGUGUUCGCCCUGUUCAUAGCCUCAGUUCUGCCGCUGAUAUCCUUUUAAAAAUCAGCAACCAAACGUGUUCGGCUUGUGAUCCUGAACCCUCCUUAGGCAAGCUGGAACUCAGCGUGAUGCCAGCCGUCCUCCCUCUCUCCCAACCCCCAACCUCGUUCUUCAGCCUCCUGAAGACAAUCUGUGAACAAUUUUCCCAAAGUCCCAAGAAUAACACAGCACUGCCAAUAGUCACUGGCGAUGCCGUUUGUUUUUCUUAGAGGGCAAUGAAAAUUUAACAGCUUUCUGCUGCAUCCUGAGUCCUGCUCCUAAUAAUUACUAACAUGCCUAGUUUCUUCAACUUUUUCUAUCUCAAGAGAGGAAGACGCUCCCAUUUUUUCCUAUGUCCGUGCUACAUUCAGAGAACACCAUCGCGGGGCAGGGGGUUGGGAGAGUGGUGGGAGUUGAUUCGCCCCUGCCAAAAAGCCACCAGCCCUUUCCCCAAGCGCGAGAGGAGAGAAUCGGGACCCUCCCUCCGGACGCCAGUAGGUGACAGGCGAUCCUAAGCGGCGGGAACACGCCAACGCACCCUCGCCUCCCGGCGCCCCGCAUCGCCCCGACCCUUGGGCCACAGAACCGGUUUCCACGCCGGAGAAAACCAAGGGAAGAGUUGGUUGUGAUGCAGUAAACAGGAGCCAUGCGGGGAGCCUCUGUGAAGCCCUCGCGAUGCUGCAGCCAGUAUUCUGCUUUCCCUCUCUACAUACCAACAAACCGAUUAUGACCUUCUCCCUGAUCUUCUGCGACACCGACCCAGUCUGGUUGUCACAGACCCCGGCGGUGCCAGCGAAGUGCCCGGCCCUGCCCCUGCGGCGCUCGCCCCCACCACCGCGCCGCAGCCCCUCUGCGGAACCCGCCGGGAUCCCGGCUGCCACUCACCUCGCGCGAGGGAGACGCAACUCGGCUGCACUGUCCUCGGUGCCGCGGCGGGGCGGCGGGGCUGCGGGGCUGCGGGGCUGCGGGGCUGCGGGACUGCGGGACUGCGGGACUGCGGGACUGCGGGACUGCGGGCUGCGGCGUCAGGGGUGGGCAAGGAUGAGCAGCGCACGAACAAUCCAGGGCCCAGAAAGUCUCCGUGCCGGCCGCGGCGCGUCUCGGGAAGUCAGCGCAGGCGGCGCGAGGCUGGCAUGUUCCGGGCGCGCUGUCCGGCGGCGUCGGCCGCGGGAGGC
rnacentral:lncRNA from 1 species